rnacentral:rRNA from 1 species
UACGUAGGGGGCUAGCGUUGCCCGGAAUCAUUGGGCGUAAAGCGCGUGUAGGCGGUCCGGUAAGUCCGCUGUGAAAGUCGGGGGCUCAACCCUCGGAUGCCGGUGGAUACUGUCGGGCUUGAGUACGGAAGAGGAGAGUGGAAUUCCUGGUGUAGCGGUGAAAUGCGCAGAUAUCAGGAAGAACACCCGUGGCGAAGGCGGCUCUCUGGGACGUGACUGACGCUGAGACGCGAAAGCGUGGGGAGCAAACAGG